rnacentral:lncRNA from 1 species
CAAGGACGCACACGGUACAAGGUACCCAUUUAUUUAAUAUUUUUACAUUAUCUAUUCUGCUUUUGGAUUUCUCUCUGCCGACGUCCUCAAAGAACGGACACCGAGCAGAGGAGCAUUUUCAAUCGCCUCGGUGAAGGGGUGCUCACGACACCAGCACAAUUAUACUAAGCCCGGUGAAUCCCCGUCACGAGCUGACGAGUAUUCAACCCAUUCAUUGGAAAAGAAUCCGACCCGCUCCGGCAAUGUGGGGCUCGGACCCAAAGUUUACUAACUUUGCUAAAAAGUUUUAAGUCCCAGUGACCGCUUUAGGGCUUGGUCGAAAUCUGGGCUAGGCUCGGAAAGACUCUCCGAGCCCAAAUCCCUUAAGCACAAGCGUUGCUAUACCACUGGUCGAAGGGCCGAGUAAUGGAGCUCGGCAAGCCGAACCUAAAA